rnacentral:rRNA from 1 species
GAUGAACGCUGGCGGCGUGCCUAAUACAUGCAAGUCGAGCGAAGCGGGGACGGGGGAGUAACACGUGGAUAACAUCCUAUAAGACUGGGAUAACUUUGGGAAACCGGAGCUAAACCGGAAACUUAUAGAUGGAUCCGCGCUGCAUUAGCUAGUUGGUAAGGUAACGGCUUACAAAGGCAACGAUGCAUAGCCGACCUGAGAGGAUGAUCAGCCACCCUGGAACUGAGACACGGUCCAGACUCCUACGGGAGGCAGCAGUGGGGAAGCUUCCGCAAUGGGCGAAAGCCUGACGGAGCAAUGCCGCGUGAGUGAUGAAGGUCUUCGGAUCGUAAAACUCUGUUAGUAGGGAAGCGUUACCUAAUCAGAAAGCAACGGCUAACUCCGUGCCAGCAGCCGCGGUAAUAC